rnacentral:rRNA from 1 species
AUUGAACGCUGGCGGCAGGCCUAACACAUGCAAGUCGAGCGGAUGAAGGGAGCUUGCUCCUGGAUUCAGCGGCGGACGGGUGAGUAAUGCCUAGGAAUCUGCCUGGUAGUGGGGGAUAACGUCCGGAAACGGGCGCUAAUACCGCAUACGUCCUGAGGGAGAAAGUGGGGGAUCUUCGGACCUCACGCUAUCAGAUGAGCCUAGGUCGGAUUAGCUAGUUGGUGGGGUAAAGGCCUACCAAGGCGACGAUCCGUAACUGGUCUGAGAGGAUGAUCAGUCACACUGGAACUGAGACACGGUCCAGACUCCUACGGGAGGCAGCAGUGGGAAAUAUUGGACAAUGGGCGAAAGCCUGAUCCAGCCAUGCCGCGUGUGUGAAGAAGGUCUUCGGAUUGUAAAGCACUUUAAGUUGGGAGGAAGGGCAGUAAGUUAAUACCUUGCUGUUUGGACGUUACCAACAGAAUAAGCACCGGCUAACUUCGU